CAGUGUUGUUAUCAGCUUGGUCUGAGAUGCAGAACAUGACGUUGCCAGGUUAAAGGCUGCAUGCAGAUAAUCAUAGUGUGCAUGUCUUGACACGGUUUAGAUCAAAGGCUGAGUUAAUUGUUCCGGGUAAGAAGCUGGGAACUUUCCAGGAAUCGUAAUUGCAGAGGAGCCAGAGUGGAAAGAUAGCAUUCGAGGUUCAAUUGGUGUUGUAAAUUUGGCUGGAAUGCCCAUUAGUACAAGAUGGACUUUUGUGGUUUACUACCUUUACCUUUCUUUUGGUUAUCCUACCUGUCUUUUUACAGUAAAUAGUGACAAUAUGAAAAGAAGUUCUCGAUAACUCUUGUUUUGUUACUUUAUAGUAAGCAUACAGCAAGUACUCAUUACAGAUAUAGAGAUGGUAAAAGAAAUUAGCCUGCGUACAUCUUUGAGCUUGGGGAUUUCCUUUUAUCUAUCUAAGGACCGCAAGCCACUAUUCUACCAAGGCAUUCUAGCUUCAAAUGGGUCAGUUUGGUCUUACCAGUGGAAGAUUUUUAGCUUUGCAUCACAUCUGCCUUGUUUUUAUUUUUCUCUGACUUUGGGAUCCAUAGUAUGGUAGGCCUCAUGUGAGCUGUACCCGUCCCAAGCCUCCCAGAAAGGUCCCCAAGUCACCUCAUGAGGUUAGAAGUAGUUCUUUUGUUCAUAGUGUACCUUGCUUAUGGAUAUGAUGAUGGCAGUGCUCUAUCAUACAUUCUUCUUACAAUGACCAGUUGGUUCAUGGCACUUUCUUGGCUUUUUGCUCCCUAUUUGUUCAACCCAUGCCCAUCUGGGUUUGAGUGGCAGAACUGAAAGAUUGGUGGGCAUUUGGGUGGAGUUUGCUUAGUCUACGUUACGUGAAACUAAAAGAACUUUUUGUUUCUGAGGAGCGCAAAUGUUUCCAAAGAUUGAUUGGAAUACUAUUGCAGUUGAGAUUAUUGAUUUGCUGGGUAUUUGAAGAUAGAGAGAUAAAGUCAUUUAUAUGAGAUAUUGAAAGCUUGGAUGAAGUGAAGAAGAGGUUCAAGGAAGAGUAGCUGUUCAGCCUUGUGAUAUUGUUCUCAAUGU